rnacentral:rRNA from 1 species
UACGUAGGGGGCAAGCGUUGUCCGGAUUUAUUGGGCGUAAAGAGCGUGUAGGCGGCCAGGUAGGUCAGCUGUGAAAACUCGAGGCUCAACCUCGAGACGUCGGUUGAAACCACCUGGCUAGAGUCCGGAAGAGGAGAGUGGAAUUCCUGGCGUAGCGGUGAAAUGCGCAGAUAUCAGGAGGAACACCGGUGGCGAAGGCGGCUUGCUGGGCCUUACCUGACGCUGAGGAGCGAAAGCGUGGGGAGCGAACAGG